rnacentral:rRNA from 1 species
UACGAAGGGGGCUAGCGUUGUUCGGAAUUACUGGGCGUAAAGCGCGCGCAGGCGGCUAUCCAAGUCAGUGGUGAAAGCCCGGAGCUCAACUCCGGAACUGCCAUUGAAACUGUUUAGCUUGAGGAUGAGAGAGGUGAGUGGAAUUCCCAGUGUAGAGGUGAAAUUCGUAGAUAUUGGGAAGAACACCGGUGGCGAAGGCGGCCAUCUGGACGGUAACUGACGCUGAGACGCGAAAAGCGUGGGUAGCAAACAGG